AUUGAACGCUGGCGGCAGGCCUAACACAUGCAAGUCGAGCGGCAGCGGGAAAGUAGCUUGCUACUUUUGCCGGCGAGCGGCGGACGGGUGAGUAAUGCCUGGGAAAUUGCCCAGUCGAGGGGGAUAACAGUUGGAAACGACUGCUAAUACCGCAUACGCCCUACGGGGGAAAGCAGGGGACCUUCGGGCCUUGCGCGAUUGGAUAUGCCCAGGUGGGAUUAGCUAGUUGGUGAGGUAAUGGCUCACCAAGGCGACGAUCCCUAGCUGGUCUGGGAGGAUGAUCAGCCACACUGGAACUGAGACACGGUCCAGACUCCUACGGGAGGCAGCAGUGGGGAAUAUUGCACAAUGGGGGAAACCCUGAUGCAGCCAUGCCGGGUGUGUGAAGAAGGCCUUCGGGUUGUAAAGCACUUUCAGCGAGGAGGAAAGGUUGUUGGCUAAUAUCCGACAGCUGUGACGUUACUCGCAGAAGAAGCACCGGCUAACUCCGUGCCAGCAGCCGCCGUAACAC
rnacentral:rRNA from 1 species